UACGUAGGUGGCAAGCGUUGUCCGGAUUUACUGGGUGUAAAGGGCGAGUAGGCGGGAUAGAAAGUCAGAUGUGAAAUACCGAGGCUUAACUUCGGGGCUGCAUUUGAAACUUCUGUUCUUGAGUGAUGGAGAGGCAGGCGGAAUUCCCGGUGUAGCGGUGAAAUGCAUAGAGAUCGGGAGGAACACCAGUGGCGAAGGCGGCCUGCUGGACAUUAACUGACGCUGAGGCGCGAAAGUGUGGGGAGCAAACAGGAUUAGAUACCCUGGUAGUCCACACCGUAAACGAUGGAUACUAGGUGUGGGGGGUCUGACCCCCUCCGUGCCGGAGUUAACACAAUAAGUAUCCCACCUGGGGAGUACGAUCGCAAGAUUGAA
rnacentral:rRNA from 1 species